GACCUGGAUCUCGGGUGCCUACAGUUGACGGGUGACAAGGUGGCGAAUGUGGUUCUUCCCAAAUGGGCAGAGUCACCGGAGGAUUUUAUCUACAAACAUCGGAGAGCUCUGGAGUCGGAGUUCGUGUCUGAUCACCUUCACGAGUGGAUUGAUCUGAUCUUCGGCUACAAGCAACGAGGCCCGGCGGCCGUGGAGGCUCUCAACAUCUUCUAUUACUGCACAUACGAGGGCGCGGUGGACCUGGAUGCCAUCGCAGAUGAGACCGAGAGGAAAGCGCUGGAGGGAAUCAUCAGUAACUUCGGGCAGACUCCAUGUCAGCUCCUGAAGGAGGCACACCCCACGAGGCUGACCACGGAGAACGCUGCCCGACGCCGCGCUCGCUUCGACACCUACACCCUGGACGUCUUCGAGCACCUCGGCCAUCUCAAGUCCUUCUUCGUGGAGGGAAUCAGUGAUGACAUUCCUCUGGUCCAGGCUGUUGUUCCCAAGAAUCAGGCUCAUUCGUUCAUC